rnacentral:rRNA from 1 species
UACGUAGGGGUCUAGCGUUGUCCGGAAUUAUUGGGCGUAAAGAGCUCGUAGGCGGUUCGGCAAGUCGGAUGUGAAAUCUCCACGCUUAACGUGGAGGGGCCAUUCGAAACUGCCGUGACUCGAGUCCGGUAGGGGAGUGCGGAAUUCCCGGUGUAGCGGUGAAAUGCGCAGAUAUCAGGAAGAACACCAAUGGCGAAAGCAGCUCUCUGGGACGGUACUGACGCUGAGACGCGAAAGCGUGGGGAGCGAACAGG